rnacentral:rRNA from 1 species
CCUACGGGUGGCAGCAGUGAGGAAUAUUGGUCAAUGGACGAGAGUCUGAACCAGCCAAGUAGCGUGAAGGAUGACUGCCCUAUGGGUUGUAAACUUCUUUUAUAAAGGAAUAAAACGAGGCACGUGUGCCUUUUUGCAUGUACUUUAUGAAUAAGGAUCGGCUAACUCGUGCCAGCAGCCGCGGUAAUACGGAGGAUCCGAGCGUUAUCCGGAUUUAUUGGGUUUAAAGGGAGCGUAGAUGGGUUGUUAAGUCAGUUGUGAAAGUUUGCGGGUCAACCGUAAAAUUGCAAUUGAUACUGGCAGUCGUGAGUGCAGUUGAGGUAAGCGGAAUUCGUGGUGUAGCGGUGAAAUGCUUAGAUAUCACGAAGAACCCCGAUUGCGAAGGCAGCUUACUAAACUGUGACUGACAUUGAUGCUCGAAAGUGUGGGUAUCAAACAGGAUUAGAUACCCCAGUAGUC